CAGGCUGGCAUGUGUGAGCCAUGAAUAAAGCAGAAGUGAGGGCGUAUGACUCCUGAGACCAGGUCACAGAGUACACCGCAGCUUCUGUCUUGGUCUCUCAAGUCACUCAGUCUUGGGGAAGCCAGCCCCAAAGUUGUGAGGUCACCUGCAGUCCUGUGAGAGGAGCUGAGGCCUCCCACCCAGAACCAACCCCACCUUGCCAGCCACCUUGGAAAUGGAGCCUCCAGCCGCAGUCCGGCCUUCAGAUGAGCGCAGCCCUGGCCAGCACCUGACUACCACCUUGCGGGAGACCAGAACUGCCCAGGCAGGCUGCUCCCAAAUCCCUGACCCACACAGAAGGUCGAAGAAAUAUAUGUAAAAGCCUAGGUCCAAAGAGGCUAAUAACUUGUUCGAGUCACACAUAAGCUAGUGGCUGAGCCAGGACUGAAACCCGUCUCCUAGGCUGUGCACAGCCGGCACGCUCCGCAUCAGGACAGAAAUCGAGGCGUCCAGAUCCAAGACCAGUGGCUUCUCCCAAAGCUGUGUGAAGAACUAAGGAAGCCAGACGGUGUUGGGAACUGUGCCCAGCGGGAUCACUGAGCACAGCUUUGCUGGAGGGGGACAGCCAUGCUGAUCAAAGUUUGAAAUGCACACACCAUGCACACCAACCAGAUCAAAGUUCAAAAUGCACACACCAUGUACCCCACCACCGGUGCCAGCAGCAGAAAUGCGUCUUACUGAUGUAUGUGCACACAUGGGAAAUGGCAUCUGUUCCAGGUUCUUCACUGCAGCUUUGCUCAGCACGGACAGACGGAAACGUCAAGCCUAGAUGUCUCACGAUACACUGAAUACAUUAUAGUUCGUUCAUAGUACAGAAUAUGGAGGGUGAGAAAAAUAAGAUGUGCAAAUCUGAUACAGAAAAAGCUCUAGGGUAUGUUAUGUGAAAAAAGUAAGAGCCAGACAAUACAAUUUUGUGGGUUUUUAAAAAAACCAAUGUACACAUAGGUGGGUGCUUAUGAAUGGCAUGAAAAAUUUCUGGAAGGUUUACAAGAAACUGUUAGCAACGUUUGCCUCUGGGGAGGGUUCUGGGCUAGGAAUAGGCACUUAUUUUUCACUGUACAGAUAUACUGUUCUGUACUUUAGGAAUUUUUUACUUUGUGAAUGAAUUUAUUUUCAAUAAAGUUUUGGGAGACUUCCAGUCAA